GCGACUGUCUCCCUCAAUCUCCUCCUCUCUGGCGACUCUCUCUCUCUCUCUUCAAUCGGCCCACCGCACCACCGCAUCCCUCUCUCCCCUCCCUCUGUUGACUCCCUCUCUCUCCCCCCAACCAAACCUUAAGUCCCCGUGGGACCUCUCUGCGUCGACGGCGGACAAUCCGUCCACUUCAGUCAUGAUCAGUAGGCGGUGGCGGAGAGAGUUCUCCGGUAGCAGUAGUGGCCAAGUGGUUGUUGCUUCAGCAGUAGUUGUUGUUUAAGCCCAUAUGUGUUGCCGUGUGGAUUUCCGAUGGUGAAUCAGAGUGCACCAAAUGGAGCAAGUACUACGAUUUUCUCUCAUCAUCAUUUAUGGAGUUCAAUUCUCGCUUCAUGUUUGAUUUCAUUUGUCUAAUUCCUUGGUUUUGUGAUUCAGUGGUGGGAAACCAGCAAAGGGAACUGCAUUUCGAUGAGUGGGUGGCCCUUCAUCAGUGAUCAGAGCAAAGACCUACGGAUCAGGAAAAAGGUCAAGUUUGGUCCAGAAUCGAGUCUGAUAAAGAAGUGCUUUUGGUUAUGUUUAUCCUGCUGUUGAUUAUCAGUCUUUUGUUUUUUUCCCUUCUGCCUCCUACAUGUAUUACGAAAAGAAGGCUCAAUGGCCUGAGAAAAAAAAAGUACACGAAGUACUGCCAAGGGAACAACUUGCAUUAAGGGAAAGGAAAAUGCAUUGAUAUGAUUCUUUGAAUUUGUAUAGAGUUCUUACAAAAAAAUGUAUAUGGCAUAUUUAUUUUUUUUAUUUACCAUACGCAAGUUCAACAUCUUUCAAGUCUCUCUAUCAACACUACGCAAGUUCGACCUCCCCAACAAAGAAAUGUUGGGAUUGUGAUACGUGACGAGCAAAAUGUCAAUGGCAUCCAUAGCAAUGGUAAGUCCAUACUAUUGAUUUUCACUUCAAUGUAUUUUAGGUUGGAACAAACCCUCAAGAAGUGGUACACCUUCCAACAACAAUAGGUAGAUGUCAAGAUCUAAAUGAAUUAUUGUCGACAGUUUAUCCCCAACUAGGAGUGGCAAAUGCAUCAACCCCAACAUUUUUAACUGAACGCACAAUUCUCUCAACUCGAAAUGAUGACAUGAAUGCUAUAAAUGGCACUGCACUAACUAUUUUUUUUUCAGGAAACAGAUACACUUACCUUGCUGCCAACAAGAUGUCUGAAGAUGACGGAAUGGAUAGAAGCAUCACUAACCGGUAUCCCAACGAGUAUCUAAACUCACUAGAUCCUACUGGGCUACCACCUUUUAAGCUAGAGUUGAAAGUGGGUUGUCCUAUAAUUUUGCUUAGAACCCCAAAGGAUGGAUUUUGUAAUGGGAUGAGGAUGAUGGUUGGAGGAUAUGGCACCCGUAUUGUUGAAGUUAAGAUUUUAACAGGCGAUAAAUUUGGCCACUUGACUUUCAUACCAAGAAUAUCUCUGUCUCCGUCAUCUUUAGAUUAUCCUUUCCAUAUGACAAUGCGUCAAUUUCCAGUACGUUUGGCAUAUGCUAUGACUAUUAACAAAGCACAAGGACAAUCUGUUAAAUUUGUUGGGGUCGAUUUGCGUACACCUGUGUUUAGUCAUGGGUAACUAUAUGUGGCAUUGUCAAGGUGCACGCCUUUUGACCGCAUAAAUGUCCUCCCCGAAGAAGCAAUAGAUUCCAUUACCAAUAUUGUUUAUCCUAAAGUUUUGUUGUAGUGUGCUUUAUCAUACCAGGUACAAUAGGUUGCAUGGUAUUAAAAAUGUUUUUUAUUUUUUUAGUUACCAUAUAUCAUCAAAUAAACAAAUAAUUUGGUCUACUAACUAGGUUUCUAUUAACAUAUCACUAUUCUUUUUUAGGAUUGGGACCAAGAAGCCUUGAAGCUCAGACUGAUCAAUACAAGUUGAAGAAAACGGUGGACUAAUAAGGUAUGUAGAAGUGAAGCAAUGACGUUUCGGACAAUCAUGUUGAGGAUGUGUGGACACGUUCAACAUCGGCUGUGUUUGUGUACGGACUUCUCUAUAGAUACUCUUAGCGUUAUGUUUUAUCAUCCGGCUCUUUUUUGCGAGUAUGACAUGUUUUUCUAUGACAGCAAGGCUUUGUAGCAAAACAGCUUCUUUGUGAGACAGAGUACUCUGUUUUAUUCUUUCUGAGUUUGCCAGAUUGAAUGAUGUUAAGACAGAGCACUAGCAAGGCUUUGGUGUUUGGAUGGUCUCUUUUGUUUUUUGUUUUGAUGUAACGGUUUUUUAAUCUUAACUAUAACCAACAGUGUACAAUUAUCUCCU